rnacentral:rRNA from 1 species
AUUGAACGCUGGCGGCAUGCCUAACACAUGCAAGUCGAACGAUGAUUAAGAGCUUGCUCUUAUGAUUAGUGGCGGACGGGUGAGUAAUGUAUAGGGAUCUGCCUGUUAGUGGGGGACAACAGCCGGAAACGGCUGCUAAUACCGCAUACGCUCUACGGAGGAAAGUGGGGGACCCUCGGGCCUCACGCCAACAGAUGAACCUAUAUUGGAUUAGCUAGUUGGUAGGGUAAAGGCCUACCAAGGCGACGAUCCAUAGCUGGUUUGAGAGAAUGAUCAGCCACACUGGGACUGAGACACGGCCCAGACUCCUACGGGAGGCAGCAGUGGGGAAUAUUGGACAAUGGGCGCAAGCCUGAUCCAGCAAUGCCGCGUGUGUGAAGAAGGCCUUCGGGUUGUAAAGCACUUUAAGUUGGGAGGAAAAGCUGAGGGUUAAUAGCCUUUAGUGUUGACGUUACCAACAGAAUAAGCACCGGCUAACUCCGUG